rfam:Aedes aegypti strain Liverpool supercont1.94 genomic scaffold, whole genome shotgun sequence.
CCAUCGGUCCUUUUCAGGGCCAUCAAAAGAGAGGAAAAAAGUUAA